AUUGAACGCUGGCGGCAUGCUUUACACAUGCAAGUCGAACGGUAACAGGCCGCAAGGUGCUGACGAGUGGCGAACGGGUGAGUAAUGCAUCGGAACGUGCCCAGUCGCGGGGGAUAACGCAGCGAAAGCUGCGCUAAUACCGCAUACGAUCUAUGGAUGAAAGCGGGGGACCGUAAGGCCUCGCGCGAUUGGAGCGGCCGAUGUCAGAUUAGGUAGUUGGGGGGGUAAAGGCUCACCAAGCCAACGAUCUGUAGCUGGUCUGAGAGGACGACCAGCCACACUGGGACUGAGACACGGCCCAGACUCCUACGGGAGGCAGCAGUGGGGAAUUUUGGACAAUGGGCGCAAGCCUGAUCCAGCAAUGCCGCGUGCAGGAAGAAGGCCUUCGGGUUGUAAACUGCUUUUGUACGGAACGAAAAGGCUCUGGAUAAUACCUGGGGCUCAUGACGGUACCGUAAGAAUAAGCACCGGCUAACUACGUGCCAGCCGCCGCCGUAAUAC
rnacentral:rRNA from 1 species